rnacentral:tRNA from 1 species
GCCCAGGUGGCGGAAUUGGUAGACGCGCUGGUUUCAGGUAUCAGUGCGUGGAAGUUCGAGUCUUCUCCUGGGCACCA